UACGUAGGGUGCGAGCGUUGUCCGGAAUUACUGGGCGUAAAGAGCUCGUAGGUGGUUUGUCGCGUUGUUCGUGAAAACCGGGGGCUUAACCCUCGGCGUGCGGGCGAUACGGGCAGACUUGAGUACUGCAGGGGAGACUGGAAUUCCUGGUGUAGCGGUGAAAUGCGUAGAGAUCGGCAGGAACACCCAGGGGGAAACCAGCCGACUGGGCAUCUGCUGACGCUGAUGUGCGAGAGCGUGGGGAGCGAACCGG
rnacentral:rRNA from 1 species